UAAUAGUCUCCGUCAUGUACGAACUACUGUUGUACUUUCGCGUCUUCAACAGGACACCUCCUUUUAGUCUAAGAAACUGGAGAGCGACCUAAGGGCCACAAAAUACCCCAGACAAAUUCUUGGCAUCCAGCGAUUGGUAGCGGCAUCAACAGUCCCGCAUCAAAACCAUUGCUGAAGCCUGUAGGAUGCAUCCUCCAAAAGCCAUCUGCUGCCGCUCAGCUCUUUGAUCCCGAUGAGAAAGAGAAAACGAAGAAGUAGAAUAAGAUCCAGCAUACAUGGGCGACAUUGCCAGGACUCUCUAAUCGGAAGCCAUCACGGGCCUGUGCUUUCGUCAGCUCUGCUGGUGAAAUUCAUCCUGAACACCGCCUUCAGUGUUGCCAUUCUUCAUUCGAGUUAAUCAAGUUGUCAGGUUCCCGAAUCUCCCGGAGUUGAUUAUGGUAUGGUGAUGACGAAAGCUUCACCAAGACGGAGGUUUUUGUUUUCUUUUCUCAAAUUAUUGCACAUGAAUUUUUAAGUUCUGUAAUAGAGAUAAUGUUCGAUCUAACAAGCUACAAGACGUCCAGUCUGUUCCUUAAUUCA